rnacentral:lncRNA from 1 species
CAAAGACGUAAUCUUUAUAUUUAAAUGUUAUCACGACUAAUUUACCCCCGCGAGUGCGGUGUCGGAGCAUGUAUGGCAUUUAGACCCAUAGGUGUCACCACGGCACUGGAGCAUGACGGUGACAGAAUCAGGAGUUGUUCCUAUACUUGUGUGUGUGAAACCAGUCUCAGCAUGAGUUUCAUCACGCAUGAUGUGGAAGGCGUGGUUGAGGUUUUCUUCGUACUUACUCCCUGAGCUAUAUUUCCCUUGAUCAAAGAGGCAUCUGUGGUUGAGAUACUCAUUGGUAAGGUUCAGUGACAAAACACUAUGUAUGCUGAGGAAAGGCAAUGCCAAAAUAAAGAAAACAAAUCGUUUAGAUAGAGAGAAUGAAAAUUUCAUUGUUUUAGAUUUUUAUUCUUUUUCAGUAAAAGAUGAUUUUGAUAAAUGAAGUGUUGCUUUUAACAUAUUUAUAUAGGAGACUCGGGAGGAUUUUAAUUAAUUGUUCACUGGACAGAAAAGAAAAAAGUUUGUACAUUUUCGGCGGCAGAAAUGGAGAGACAAAGAAAAAGUCUAAAUUCUGAAUGUUCUACUAUAUUUAAACUCUUAAGAACAUGAUGAUGAUACUAAUUUUUUCGUGCACCACUCAUGAACUAAAUGGACUUUGUAAUAUGUUCUGAUUUUGUAAGUAUAUUAAGUAUUUUGCAAAUAGGCUCUUAUUUAAAAAAAAAACUGACUUAAAUCUAAUUAAAAUUUGCUAAAACUAUAUGUUGACUUAGGCUUGGGCACCUUUGGCACAUGCUAAACCCGGCACAUACUCUAUGUAAGGAUUUACAUUUCUCUCUUUACCUUAUCAACUAGAUAAUAACCCGCGCCUUGCGCGGAAUGUGAUUAUUAGUUUCGUUAUUUUUUAAUAAGGAUACAUUAAUUUGUUUAAUCUGGAUAUCGGUUCGAUUUUAGGUUGUUUUUUGGUUUUUAAUCUCCUAAAAUAUAACUAUCAUUUUAAAUCAAUAUUUAUUUGGUUUGUUCGGUUAAAAUAUUUGAUGUUUUUGGUUCUUUUUCCUGUGAUAAUCAAAAAUUACUAUUAUUUGUUUGUUUUCAUGUAUUAAAUCUUAGAUAGUCGUGAUCUCGAACCAAUAGUUUCAUAUUAUAGUUUCUAAACUGAUAAUAGUUAAAAAAAAAAUUAUUAAGACAAAUCAUUUUACUACAAUUUAGUCGAUAAUGAAAGAAGCACUAAGAAAAAGAAUAUUUUAACUUCCAAAAAAAUUAGAUAUUUCAGUUGUUGUAAAUACUUAGUUAUAAGGUGCUCACGUUAAUGCGCACAUGUAUGUGUAUGUAAAAGUAUAUAAAGAUAGUUGAUAAAUAUAUAAAGAUAUUGUUAAUUAAUAUUAAAUGAUAUUUUUUUCAAAAUAAUACAUGAAAAAUAAAAUUCUUUAAAUGAAAUUAUUUAAAAACAAAAAUAUUGUAAUAUUUAUAUAAACUAUAAUAUAUAACUUAUAUAUAAUUCUUUAAAUAUAUGUAUAUAUAUGCAUAUAACGGAUCAAAUUGGAUAUCCGUUCCUAUAAAUAUUGAUAUUUGUGAUUUGUUUUUUUUUUCACGGAUAUUGCAUUUUAGGAUUUGAUUUGCUUCGUAGAGUAACAAAAUAUUAAGCUAACAGUGAAUAUUCAUAUUUGGAUACAGAUCCAUACAAUAAUAUUAAAAUAUUUAAAAUAAUAUUAAACUAAAUUUAUAUAACAUCAUAUAGAUGAAACUAAUUUUUUCUACAAAAUAUAAUAUUUCAAAAAGUAAAAGUGGUACUAAAAAUAAUUAUAAAUAUAUUGAUAAAACUUGAUGUUAUCUUUCAAAAAGCCUAUUAAAAUACAUUCUAAAUAUACUUAUAAAAUCUAGAUAUGGAUAUUCAGACUUCAAAAUCAAAAUAGUCAGACUUCAAAAUCAAGAUAUCUGAUUUUAAAAUCAAGAUAUUUGGAUUUGGAUACUGUUUUUAUAAUCUGAGAUUCUAUUACACGGAUCCAACCUUCUAGAUAUUUGGAUAUUUAGAAUGCAUCCGAGUGGAUAUCAGGUCGGGUCCCAAAUCUUUGGAUACUGUUCCAUCCCUAUCUAUAACAAAUUUCAAAGUUUGUUAGAUGAUUUCUAAUUGAUUCUAAUCUGAUUUUUGUGUCAUGUAAUCAUUUCUAUUUUGGCCUAAAGAUAAAGUUUUAUAGCACCACAAAGACGUAAUCUUUAUAUUUAAAUGUUAUCACGACUAAUUUACCCCCGCGAGUGCGGUGUCGGAGCAUGUAUGGCAUUUAGACCCAUAGGUGUCACCACGGCACUGGAGCAUGACGGUGACAGAAUCAGGAGUUGUUCCUAUACUUGUGUGUGUGAAACCAGUCUCAGCAUGAGUUUCAUCACGCAUGAUGUGGAAGGCGUGGUUGAGGUUUUCUUCGUACUUACUCCCUGAGCUAUAUUUCCCUUGAUCAAAGAGGCAUCUGUGGUUGAGAUACUCAUUGGUAAGGUUCAGUGACAAAACACUAUGUAUGCUGAGGAAAGGCAAUGCCAAAAUAAAGAAAACAAAUCGUUUAGAUAGAGAGAAUGAAAAUUUCAUUGUUUUAGAUUUUUAUUCUUUUUCAGUAAAAGAUGAUUUUG